rnacentral:rRNA from 1 species
UACAGGGGGGCAAGCGUUGUUCGGAAUUACUGGGCGUAAAGGGCUCGUAGGCGGCCUUCUAAGUCGAACGUGAAAUCCCCGGGCUCAACCCGGAACUGCGUCCGAUACUGGAAGGCUUGAAUCCGGGAGAGGGAUGUGGAAUUCCAGGUGUAGCGGUGAAAUGCGUAGAUAUCUGGAGGAACACCGGUGGCGAAGGCGACAUCCUGGACCGGUAUUGACGCUGAGGCGCGGAAAGCCAGGGAGCAAAGCGGG